AGAGUGGGCGGCAGGACUGCUUCCGGGUGACGGAGGUCGGCCCCGGCAAGAUGGCGGCGCCCUUGGAGCUCAGCUGCUGGGGAGGCGGCUGGGGGCUCCCUUCGGUCCACAGCGAGUCCCUGGUGGUGAUGGCUUACGCCAAGUUCUCUGGCGCGCCCUUGAAAAUCAACGUCAUAGACCACACCUGGAGGGGUUCGAGAGGUGAUGUACCAGUUUUGACAACUGAAGACAGCGUUGUUUCUCAGCCUGCAAAAAUACUAAACUUUUUAAGAAAACAGAAAUACAAUGCUGACUGUGAACUCUCAGCAAAACAAGGGGCAGACACCCUGGCGUACAUUGCCCUCCUGGAAGAGAAACUUCUCCCUGCUGUGCUUCACACGUUCUGGGUUGAGAAUGACAAUUAUUUUACUGUGACAAAGCCGUGGUUUGCCUCCCGCAUCCCCUUCCCUCUAAGUUUGAUCCUGCCUGGAAGGAUGUCCAGAGGAGCACUGAAUAGAAUUCUCUUGACUAGGGGAGAACCACCACUCUACCACAUCCGUGAAGUGGAGGCACAGAUAUACAGAGAUGCCAAGGAGUGCCUAAAUCUUCUGUCACACAGACUGGGAACAUCUCAGUUUUUCUUUGGUGACACACCUUCCACCUUGGACGCCUACGUGUUUGGUUUCCUCGCACCUCUUUAUAAAGUGCGCUUUCCCAAAGUUCACUUACAAGAGCAUCUGAAACAGCUUUCCAACCUGUGUCGACUCUGCGAUGACAUCCUAAACAGCUACUUUAGGCAUGGGCCUGCAGCAUUUUCCUCCAUGAACAGAAAUCAGUAGCAGAUUGACUUUGGUGAGGUACACUCCCAUGAUUCCACUACUUGAAAACUGAUUGCAACAAAACUGGACAUAUAGUAAGUAGAGGGCUCUUGGCACUUAGGAUGGACUUCUCUGUGAUGGGGGCCUUAUGCUUAAGGGACUGGGCAUUAAGUUUAUAUUUGUAGAGGUGGCUGAAGUUGUCCUUUUAAGAAACAGAAGUUAUGAGACAGCUGACUUAGGUAGACAAGUUGUUGUUAUUUGUGGUGGAUUAUCUUCUUCACAUAUAGGGAAGUCUAGGAAACGGGAAGUUAGGGAAUCAAGUAACAUCCAACCAUGUCACUCUGGAGCAGUGGCUAGCAAAUCUGACUACACAGCUCUUCCAUACUUCCCAAAUUAAAAUCUCCCACGAUCAAUCCUAGAAGGCUCUGCUUCUAGAAAUCCCUUUAAAAUGUCUUGGGUGCCUGGUGAGUAGCCGUUAGGGAAUCGGUACCUUAGUAAGAUGCCUGUGGCAUUAAAACUGAUGACCUGCUGGGUAUUGGUGGCACUCACCUUUAAUCCCAGCACUCGGGAGGCAGAGGCAGGCAGAUCUCUGUGAGUUCGAGGCCAGCCUGGUCUACAGAGUAAGUUCCAGGACAGCCUCCAAAACAAUACAGAGAAAGCCUGUCUCGAUAAAACAAAAAAACAAACGAAAAACCCGAUGAUCUAUCUAGUGAUUAGGGAGGGGGCACAUAACCCUGAGAGUGCCGUGCCUUUACUAACUAACCACUGUAGCUGGCUGCAUGUCCUGUGGCUCAGGGUCUUCCAAGAACACAAGUCAGUGUUUUCCUUUCUGACUUCCUGCGGAGCACUGCUGUCCCUCCUAACUUUGCCCUUGAACCCAAAUAUGUUUUCUCUUUGGGUGGGGGGGUUUAGUUGGGAAGGUGGAUAAACUGAAAACAUUUUUUUUUCAGUCUUAAACAGCUUGAAAACCUUUCAAAGUUUCCUUUCUUCUCCUGAUUUCUCUCCUGGCUUCUCAGGCACCUCUCCAGCUGGUCAAGAAAUGAUAGAUGCAAACCUGCGGAAACUCACACAGCUUGUAAAUAAGGAAUCCAACUUAAUUGAAAAGAUGGAUGACAAUCUCCGCCAAAGCCCUCAGCUUCUUCCUCGGAAGCUUCCAACCCUCAAGC